UAUAUUUAAGUGUAAGAGCACGAAAAUUUUUGAUAUUUUUAGAUUCAGGUAAAUCCUGAAAAAUAUAG
rnacentral:tRNA from 1 species